AUAGGAGACGCAUGUGUCGCUCGCGCUCCUGCACUGACCUGAUAUUUUUAUUUUACAUGAAGUGAAUUGCAGCCAAGCAACGUUAUUCAUCAUGACCAACCCCAUCGUCUACAUGAAUGGCGAUCAGAUCGUGCAAAUGGUGCUGAGUGCGGUGCCAUACUUGCUGCUGUGCGCGGUGUUCUGGGUGUUCAUGCGUCUGGCAUGGAGAUGUGUUACGUAUCCCAUGGAAAUGCGUAAGAUAAUACGGGAGGAAGAAGAGAGAGA